AAUACUUACUCUACUAAAGUAUUCGCCCGAGAACUACGAGCACAAACGCUUAAAACUCUAAGGACUUGGCGGUGCCCCAAACCCACCUAGAGGAGCCUGUUCUAUAAUCGAUAACCCACGAUACACCCAACCGCCCCUUGCCAAGGCAGCCUAUAUACCGCCGUCGCCAGUCCACCUCCCCUGAGAGUCCAACAGUGGACAUAAUAGCCCCCCGCUAGCAAGACAGGUCAAGGUAUAGCCCAUGGAGCGGAAGAAAUGGGCUACAUUUUCUAGAGUAGAAAACUUUUACGGAAAGGGAUGUGAAAUCGUCCCUGGAAGGCGGAUUUAGCAGUAAAGCGGGAUAAUAUACGCCCCCUUUAAACCGGCCCUGGGG
rnacentral:rRNA from 1 species